rnacentral:rRNA from 1 species
AUUGAACGCUGGCGGCAUGCCUUACACAUGCAAGUCGAACGGCAGCACGGGGCAACCUGGUGGCGAGUGGCGAACGGGUGAGUAAUGCAUCGGAACGUACCUUUCAGUGGGGGAUAACGUAGCGAAAGUUACGCUAAUACCGCAUGUUCUGUGGGCAGGAAAGCAGGGGAUCGCAAGACCUUGCGCUGAUUGAGCGGCCGAUGUCAGAUUAGCUAGUUGGUGAGGUAAAGGCUCACCAAGGCGACGAUCUGUAGCGGGUCUGAGAGGAUGAUCCGCCACACUGGAACUGAGACACGGUCCAGACUCCUACGGGAGGCAGCAGUGGGGAAUUUUGGACAAUGGGGGCAACCCUGAUCCAGCCAUGCCGCGUGAGUGAAGAAGGCCUUCGGGUUGUAAAGCUCUUUCGGCCGGGAAGAAAUCGCACGGGCUAAUACCCUGUGUGGAUGACGGUACCGGAAUAAGAAGCACCGGCUAACUACGUGCCAGCAGCCGCCGUAACAC